rnacentral:rRNA from 1 species
UACGUAGGGUGCGAGCGUUGUCCGGAAUUACUGGGCGUAAAGAGCUCGUAGGUGGUUUGUCGCGUUGUUCGUGAAAACUCACAACUCAACUGUGGGCGUGCGGGCGAUACGGGCAGGCUGGAGUACUGCAGGGGAGACUGGAAUUCCUGGUGUAGCGGUGGAAUGCGCAGAUAUCAGGAGGAACACCGGUGGCGAAGGCGGGUCUCUGGGCAGUAACUGACGCUGAGGAGCGAAAGCGUGGGGAGCGAACAGG